rnacentral:rRNA from 1 species
GCGUGAGGGANGACGGCUUUUGGGUUGUAAACCUCUUUUAUCAGGGAAGAAACGAUGACGGUACCUGAUGAAUCAGCAUCGGCUAACUCCGUGCCAGCAGCCGCGGUAAUACGGAGGAUGCAAGCGUUAUCCGGAAUUAUUGGGCGUAAAGCGUCCGUAGGUGGUUUAUCAAGUCUGCUGUCAAAGCGUGCGGCUUAACCGCAUAAGGGCAGUGGAAACUGAUGAACUAGAGUGCGAUAGGGGUAACAGGAAUUCCCAGUGUAGCGGUGAAAUGCGUAGAUAUUGGGAAGAACACCAGCGGCGAAAGCGUGUUACUGGGUCUGCACUGACACUGAGGGACGAAAGCUAGGGGAGCGAAAGGGAUUAGAUACCCCNUGUAGUCA